CCAGGCGCUAAUAUUAGACUCAACUAUAAAGCCAUACAUCAAAGCCUCCAAGAUGCCCUCGCUCUAGCCCCUCACUCAAGUCCCUCACGCAUCGCUUUUGGUAAGAAGUCCACACAAAUACUACGAUCGUCACACGUUAAGAGUAUAAACACACCCAGAAUGAUACCGCUCGUUGUUCAUCGUGGCUGAUUGUGUUUCUUGCGCUGAACUUCCCCAAUAGAUUGUGGAUCAGAGUUUAACCUGUACAUGAAAACCAACAUGGCAUACAGUUGCAGAAAGCUCCGUGGAUUGUGUUUACUGACAGAGGUUUCUGGAAGUAUCCCUUGGCUUAUUUAGUAAUCAUGUGAUGAGUGUCGUUGAAGAAUGUGGGCAUCCAACAAAGAUCUUUCAGAUUUCUCCAGUUUCUCUGAAUGUUUUGAUGAUGUUAUGCAAUACAGAUCAUGAUAUUAGCUAAGCCUUUGCGAUUUGACAUUGAGGAACAUGGUUUUUAAAGUAUAUCACAAUCUUUUUACACACUCUUUCACAGAUUGGAGAGCAUCUGCCCAUCUUUUCUUCAAAGAGACGCUCUUCUUUUAUAGUUUAUCAUGUUACAGACUUGAUGUCAAAUAACUUAGAUGUUAUUGCUAGAUGUUCUCCCAGCUGAAUCUUUUCAAAUUUCUUGGUUUUUUUUUCAAAUAAAAAAACUGGUUUUAAAUAAAACAUAGUAGGCCUGUAGUAGGCCUGCAAUGGUAAAAAAUCUAAAGCUGACAUAUCAAAUGUUUUGGUGGGCCGUCCCUAAAUGAUCAUUAUCACCAUUAUUACCAUGGAAAAAGUUUUUUUGUGUGUAGCAACCAUCCUACAGUGCAUAUUUAGAGCUGUUAAAUAUUAAACUGUCACAAAUGAAAA